UUCAGAUGAUAAUUCUUUUGUACAGGAACUGGAGAAAUUAAAAACUUUUUUUAUCAAAAGAAAUUAUCCCAUGUCGAUAAUUGAUAAGUGUUUUGAUAAAAUAAAGUCAAUGUCUAUGGAUGAUGCACUAAUUAGUAGUAAAACAGAUGGCACUUCUAAUAACAUAAUUCCUUUUGUAUGUACAUACAAUCCAUCUCUACCUAACAUUGGGGAGGUUUUGAAUAAGUACUGGAAUUUAUUACAACUUUCUAAUAGGCAGAGUGUUCAGUACCUUUCUAAAUUCAAGCCUAUUGUUGCUUACAAGAGACCUACUAGUUUAAAUGAUAUUCUGGUUCAUUCUUCUUUUACAAGACCUAGUAGGUAUGGUCAAAUUUCUAAAUGUAAUAGAGCUCGCUGCUCACAUUGUUCAACUAUAAAUGAAUCUAAAUUUUUUACAUCUUCUGCAACUUUGAAAAACUACAGUAUUAGAAAGAGUCUUUCAUGUAGUUCCAAAAAUUAAUAAGCAUUAUAAAUGUUCAAGUUUUUUCCAGACUUUUAAUAUCCUUUUUGCUAUCUGCAUUUUCUCUGGAAAUAAUGUAUCUUCAUAGAUCCUUUACAUUGUGCAUUUCUGUAUAAUAUGUAUAAUGUUUUUGAAUGUUAAAUUACGCCAUGCUGUUGCAUACGUUUUGACGUCGUUGUUAUGACGUCAUGCUCCACAUGACGUCAUCAACGUUAUUGCUUGUAAACAUUAUACCCCUGAUGAAGGCAUUAAAAGCCGAAACUAGUUGGAAAUAAAUUAAAAACCAGUUUGAA